rnacentral:rRNA from 1 species
GAAUCUGCCCUCAGGAGGGGGAUAACGGUUGGAAACGACCGCUAAUACCCCAUAUGCCUAUUGGUGAAAUGAAUUUCGCCUGAGGAUGAGCUCGCGUCUGAUUAGCUAGUUGGUGAGGUAAUGGCUCACCAAGGCUUCGAUCAGUAGCUGGUCUGAGAGGAUGAUCAGCCACACUGGGACUGAGACACGGCCCAGACUCCUACGGGAGGCAGCAGUGGAGAAUUUUCCGCAAUGGGCGAAAGCCUGACGGAGCAACGCCGCGUGAGGGACGAAGGCCUCUGGGCUGUAAACCUCUUUUCUCAAGGAAGAAGAUAUGACGGUACUUGAGGAAUAAGCCACGGCUAAUUCCGUGCCAGCAGCCGCGGUAAUACGGGAGUGGCAAGCGUUAUCCGGAAUUAUUGGGCGUAAAGCGUCCGCAGGCGGCUUUUCAAGUCUGCUGUUAAAACGUGGAGCUUAACUCCAUCAUGGCAGUGGAAACUGAAAGGCUUGAGUAUGGUAGGGGCAGAGGGAAUUCCCGGUGUAGCGGUGAAAUGCGUAGAUAUCGGGAAGAACACCAGUGGCGAAGGCGCUCUGCUGGGCCAUUACUGACGCUCAUGGACGAAAGCCAGGGGAGCGAAAGGGAUUAGAUACCCCUGUAGUCCUGGCCGUAAACGAUGAACACUAGGUGUCGGGGGAAUCGACCCCUUCGGUGUCGUAGCUAACGCGUUAAGUGUUCCGCCUGGGGAGUACGCACGCAAGUGUGAAACUCAAAGGAAUUGACGGGGGCCCGCACAAGCGGUGGAGUAUGUGGUUUAAUUCGAUGCAACGCGAAGAACCUUACCAGGGUUUGACAUCCUGCGAACCUCUUAGAAAUUUGAGGGUGCCUUCGGGAAUGCAGUGACAGGUGGUGCAUGGCUGUCGUCAGCUCGUGUCGUGAGAUGUUGGGUUAAGUCCCGCAACGAGCGCAACCCACGUUUUUAGUUGCCAGCAUUUAGUUGGGCACUCUAGAAAGACCGCCGGUGAUAAACCGGAGGAAGGUGUGGAUGACGUCAGGUCAUCAUGCCCCUUACACCCUGGGCUACACACGUACUACAAUGCUACGGACAAAGGGCAGCAAACUCGCGAGAGCUAGCAAAUCCCAUAAACCGUGGCUCAGUUCAGAUCGUAG